rnacentral:rRNA from 1 species
CUAGGAAUCUGCCUGGUAGUGGGGGACAACGUUUCGAAGAACGCUAAUACCGCAUACGUCCUACGGGAGAAAGCAGGGGACCUUCGGGCCUUGCGCUCAGAUGAGCCUAGGUCGGAUUAGCUAGUUGGUGAGGUAAUGGCUCACCAAGGCGACGCCGUAACUGGUCUGAGAGGAUGAUCAGUCACACUGGAACUGAGACACGGUCCAGACUCACGGGAGGCAGCAGUGGGGAAUAUUGGACAAAUGGGCGAAAGCCCUGAUCCCAGCCCACCGCGUGUGUGAAGAAGUACUUCGGAUUGUAAAGCACUUUAAGUUGGGAGGAAGGGCAAAAUUAAUACUUUGCUGUUUUGACGUUACCGACAGAAUAAGCACCGGCUAACUCUGUGAGCAGCCGCGGUAAUACAGAGGGUGCAAGCGUUAAUCGGAAUUACUGGGCGUAAAGCGCGUAGGUGGUUUGUUAAGUUGGAUGUGAAAUCCCCGGGCUCAACCUGGGAACUGCAUC